GCUCGUCUCAAAGAUUAAGCCAUGCAAGUGCAAGUACGGACCGGUAACUAUAAAUGGUUGACACUGCGAAAGGCUCAUUACAUCAGUCGCGUUCGAAGCAGUCUUGCGACCCGAGGUCGGCAAAUGGAUAACCGUGGAAAUGCUAGAGCUAAUACAUGCAAAAAGCGCCGACUGGCCGUUUCGGCGGUCGGAAGGCGCGCAUUUAUCAGUGUACUGCGUCGGUCGUGCGAAAGCGCGCCAACGAGUGCUGACUCUGGAUAACUGUGAAAGAUCGCCGCCUUUGUGGCGGCGACGGAUUGCUCAAACGUCUGUCCUAUCAACUUUCGUCGGUACGGUCCCGGCCUACCGAGGUGCUCACGGGUGACGGGGAAUCAGGGUUCGAUUCCGGAGAGGGAGCCCGAGAAACGGCUGCCACUUCCAAGGAAGGCAGCAGGCGCGCAAAUUACCCACUUCACAAAAAAGCGCGAGUGAGAGGUAGUGACGAGAAAUACCGUUGGCGGGCCUUAACGGGCGCCGUCAAUCGGAAUGAGAACAGUCCAGAAAGCUGGUCGACCGUGUCAGGCGGAGCCCUUCGCGGGGCCGAGUCGGCGGUCUUUCGAGUAUCGAUCGGAGGGCAAGCCUGGUGCCAGCAGCCGCGGUAACUCCAGCUCCGAAAGUGUACGCUUAAGUUGUUGUGGUUGAAAAGCUCCUAGUCGAAGCAGUGCUCGAGCUUUCGACGGCGUGCGCGCGUCCGUUCGUCGUUCAAUCGGCGGCGGAAGGCGUCGCUCGUCACGCGAAAGAGUGAGAGAACGAAAUCGGGCGGCCGAGGUUCGCAUUGAUUUGCAACGCUCGACGGCCGUUCCCGGAAAGUUGCCCUGUCACAAUGCUGGUGAAUCAGGGCGGGUCAAAAUCGACGACCCAGAAGUACGAGACAUGGUACAAUGAAAAAGGGCUGCGCGGCUCCGCCGCCGGCGCCGGACGUUCGACGGGUCCUUCCGCGAGGGGGGGCCCAGAGAUUUAUUGCGCGGCAAUGAUUGAGAGGGACGGACGGGGGCAUUCGUACUGCGCCGGGAGAGGUGAAAUUCUCGGAUCGGCGCAAGACGAACCGAAGCGAAGGCGUCUCCCAAGGACGUUUUCCUUGAUCAAGAGCGAGAGUCGGAGGCUCCAAGACGAUCAGAUACCGUCGUAGUUCCGACCGUAAACGAUGCCGACCGUGCGGUCGAAUACUGAGUGAGAAACGAGGGUCGCGCGCCGAGCCUUUCGCGAGGCACGGUCAGCGCGCCCGAGGAACGAUGCCGAUUUGGCCGCUCUCGAGGGAAACCGGAGUUUUCGGGUUCCAGGGGGAGUAUGGUCGCAAAGCUGAAACUUGAAGGAAUUGACGGAAGGGCACCACCAGGAGUGGAGCCUGCGGCUUAAUUCGACUCAACGCGGGAAAACUCACCCGGCCCGGACGUGAAAAGGAUUGACAGAUCGAAAGCUCUUUCUUGAUCUUGCGAAUGGUGGUGCAUGGCCGUUCUUAGUUCGUGGAACAUUUUGUCUGGUCGAUUCUGAUAACGGACGAGACUCGAACGAUGCAUGUCUGAAAAGCGGUCGCUUGCCUUCUGCUUGAAUGCGAGGCAAACGAGGCGUACCGAAAAACUUGUCAACUUGACGGACCGGCGGCGUUGAUGUGUAAGCCGCACGAGAUCGAGCGAUAACAGGUCUGUGAUGCCCUUAGAUGUCCGGGGCUGCACGCGCGCUACAAUGGUCGGAGCAGAAUGAAAAGAGACGGCUCCGCGAGGCGGGCUGGUCUUCGGGCCUCCCGUUGUCUUGGUAGACCGUUCCCCGGGUCGACGGGCCCGGGAGAUCGUCUGGAAUCUCGAUCGUGAUCGGGACAGAGUCUUGUAAUUGUUACUCUCAAACGAGGAAUUCCUAGUAGGCGCGAGUCAUGACCUCGCGUCGACUGCGUCCCUGCCCUUUGUACACACCGCCCGUCGCUACUACCGAUCGAGCGCCCUAGCGAGGUCGUCCGAUUGUCGCCGAGGCCGGCUUUCGCGAGCUGCGCAUCCGACGAAAAGGCGAUCGAACUCGAGCGCUUAGAGGAAGUAAAAGUCGUAACAAGGUUC
rnacentral:rRNA from 1 species